rnacentral:tRNA from 1 species
GCCUGAGUGGCUCAGUCGGUUAAGCGUCUGACUUCAACUCAGAUCAUGAACUCGCGGUUCGUGAGUUCGAGCCCCGCGUCGGGCU